rnacentral:rRNA from 1 species
CCAGCAGGCUGCGGUAAUUCCCGCUCCAAUAGCGUAUAUUUAAGUUGUUGCAGUUAAAAAGCUCGUAGUUGGAUUUCGGGUGGGUUCUAGCGGUCCGCCUAUGGUGAGUACUGCUAUGGCCUUCCUUUCUGUCGGGGACGGGCUUCUGGGCUUCACUGUCCGGGACUCGGAGUCGACGUGGUUACUUUGAGUAAAUUAGAGUGUUCAAAGCAGGCUUACGCCAGAAUACUUUAGCAUGGAAUAACACGAUAGGACUCUGGCCUAUCUUGUUGGUCUGUAGGACCGGAGUAAUGAUUAAGAGGGACAGUCGGGGGCAUUCGUAUUUCAUUGUCAGAGGUGAAAUUCUUGGAUUUAUGAAAGACGAACUACUGCGAAAGCAUUUGCCAAGGAUGUUUUCAUCAAUCAAGAACGAAAGU